ACCGGCAGCGCGCGUUCUUGCUCGGGUCUCGUCUCGGAAGAAAGAUUCCAGCACCGAGAGCUCGAGGCCGACGACUCACCUUUUGGAAAGGCGGGGUUCUUCUGAGGUGACGGACCUUGCAUCUCCAGUAGAUCGGGCGCGUCCACUGUUCCCAGGACCAGAGCAUCGCACUUGGCAAAGCAGAGGAGAAGAUGGACGCUCGCGGCGGAGACGCAUCGGCCAUUGCCCUGCUGCUGUGCGCUUGCUUUCUCACCGCCCUUGCAUGUGACAGCACAGAUGGUGCCAAGUUUGCGUACAGCGGUCCUCUUGGCCCCGAUCACUGGGGGGGAUUGGACCCCAACUUCACGCGCUGCGCCAUGGGGACGUACCAGUCUCCGGUUGAUAUCAAGACCAGCGACGUGGUUUACAACCCGAUGCUGGGGCCUCUUCACAGGGAAUACACCGCUGCGAAUGCUACCCUCGUAGACAACAUCUUCAACAUCGCGCUGCGAUGCGAGGAUGCUGCUGGGACGGUGCAGAUCGACGGGGUGAAGUACAAGCUGGACAAUAUCCAUUGGCACUCUCCUUCAGAGCACACCAUCAACGGCGAGAGGUUUGCGGUGGAGCAGCACAUGGUUCACUUCAGUGACGACGGCAACAUAUCCGUUGUGUCGAUCCUGUACCGGCUCGGCAGGCCAGACCCUUUCCUCAUGCAGCUGCAGGAUAAGCUAUCGGAGCUCUACGUGGAGGCCUGCAGGGCCGAGAAAGGUGCUCCGAUCCCCACCGGAGUAGUAAACAUGUGGCAGCUGCGGCGUUACGCCAACAUGUACUACCGGUACGUCGGGUCGCUGACCACGCCGCCGUGCACCGAGAACAUCAUCUGGAACAUCCACGGCAGGGUGAGGGAGAUGGCGUUGGGGCAGGCUGCCGCCCUGAUCGCGCCCCUGGAGGAAGGCUACCGGCGCAACAACAGGCCGACGCAGCCGCUCAACGGCCGCACCGUGCAGUUCUACCGCAGGUUCUGGAAGAAGAAGGGGAGCGGGAAGCCGUAAGGGCUGGUCGAUGCGCCUCGAUCGAUGUUUGGAGAUGAUGAUGAUGCUGCAGUCUCUCUCGUCUUUGCUCUCGGUUCAGGACAAAGUUAUAGUAGUCGUUUAUCUAUCUGCAAGUCGUGUUAGCAUAUAGGUCUGCUUUAUAGGUUUGCUUUAUCGCUUAUCGGUCUUACUCUGAAUUUGGUUAAGUGUUAGGUCUUUCGUGUCUGUAAAUGCGUCCGGGAGGGUUGAUGUGAUCGAUCCUUCUUUUGUCUACAAAAAAAGUUAAGCUAAUCAAGAAAGUUUCACUUCAUGAGCCAGUGAUGGUCACAAACACUGUGCGUCUUGCUCCGACUUCGCAGAGACGUUGAAAGAGCAUCGGGCCAGUUGCAACUGGUAACGAGAAAUUCCCCCUAAAUAGUAAUUUGAC
rnacentral:rRNA from 1 species